AGAAGAAAAAAACACGACAAGCUUCGUACAUUGUACAAGUUGACCGAAACAACAUCACCGGAAUUAGUUACAACUUUCAAAGAAGUCAUUUAUGAUUUAAAGAUUUGUGAAUGGAAAUCAAUAACAUCGGAAUGAAAAAGGACUACGGGGUAACGGAUGACACUCUGAGAUUGAGAACCCAAAAGGUACAUGCUGUGCAAGAAAGAUGUAAACAUGUGAAUUCCUAAAUGUACUAAAUAUUAAAACAUCAACUGCAAUCUUCAGUGGUGACAUCCAAAAGUUGAUAUGCCAUUGGUACUUCAAGUGAUACGACCGUGACAUUGGAAAAUCCUUUUAACUUAUCAUCACUUGAGCUUGAAUUGCAAUCCUUUUGAUACAGACAUUUUCUUAAGUUCAGUUUCGAACAUUAAUGCCGCUGUGUCAUCUCUGGAAAUGGAAAAGCCUACCACAGAAUCUGAUGAAUUUUUGAACAUUCUUUCACAAAAAGGGAUCUUCUUUAUUUUGAAGAAGGUAGCCCAGGAACUGGAAAUCUUUUAUCAAAAUGAUCUUAAUAAUACACUGGACAAUAUUCUAACCUAAAAAAACCCAUGACAAACCCGAUUGAACUCCUGUGAUGAAGCAUCUCAAAACUCAAAUUAUGGUAGUCUUUCAAGUGACAUUGAGGAUUUCAAUAGCGCAUUUGACAGUAAAGUGAUUUUUAUUCAAGUUCAGAUUGUUGUCAUUAUAAAUUUAUAAGAAGUGUUCUCAUAGCCAACAUUUUUCAAGUCUACUUUUGAUGAAAUAUAGUCUUUUCUAUUACAACUUAUUAUGACAUGAUUGUUGUUGUAUACAUAAAUGUUCUUAUCCACGAAUCAUUCACUGUUCUUAUAGGUUUUUUUUAGCCUGAACUAUGUAGCAAUGACAUGUCAAGGUAAUCCAGAAAAUGUAAAAUCUUUUCUUUGAUAUGACAAGGAUUUAAUUUUGUAACAAUUAAUAUCUAAAAGUCCUGUAACCCUCAUUAAAGUCCUUUAUAAUCUGA